rnacentral:tRNA from 1 species
UAGCUCAGUUGAUAGAGUGCUUGCCUUGCAUGCAUAAGGCCCUGGGUUCAAACCCCAG